CGUUCUGUAAGCCUGUGAAGGUGUGCUGUGAGGCAUGCUGGAGGUAUCAGAAGUGCGAAUGCUGACAUAAGUAACGAUAAAGCGGGUGAAAAGCCCGCUCGCCGGAAGACCAAGGGUUCCUGUCCAACGUUAAUCGGGGCAGGGUGAGUCGACCCCUAAGGCGAGGCCGAAAGGCGUAGUCGAUGGGAAACAGGUUAAUAUUCCUGUACUUGGUGUUACUGCGAAGGGGGGACGGAGAAGGCUAUGUUGGCCGGGCGACGGUUGUCCCGGUUUAAGCGUGUAGGCUGGUUUUCCAGGCAAAUCCGGAAAAUCAAGGCUGAGGCGUGAUGACGAGGCACUACGGUGCUGAAGCAACAAAUGCCCUGCUUCCAGGAAAAGCCUCUAAGCAUCAGGUAACAUCAAAUCGUACCCCAAACCGACACAGGUGGUCAGGUAGAGAAUACCAAGGCGCUUGAGAGAACUCGGGUGAAGGAACUAGGCAAAAUGGUGCCGUAACUUCGGGAGAAGGCACGCUGAUAUGUAGGUGAAGUCCCUCGCGGAUGGAGCUGAAAUCAGUCGAAGAUACCAGCUGGCUGCAACUGUUUAUUAAAAACACAGCACUGUGCAAACACGAAAGUGGACGUAUACGGUGUGACGCCUGCCCGGUGCCGGAAGGUUAAUUGAUGGGGUCAGCGCAAGCGAAGCUCUUGAUCGAAGCCCCGGUAAACGGCGGCCGUAACUAUAACGGUCCUAAGGUAGCGAAAUUCCUUGUCGGGUAAGUUCCGACCUGCACGAAUGGCGUAAUGAUGGCCAGGCUGUCUCCACCCGAGACUCAGUGAAAUUGAACUCGCUGUGAAGAUGCAGUGUACCGCGGCAAGACGGAAAGACCCCGUGAACCUUUACUAUAGCUUGACACUGAACAUUGAGCCUUGAUGUGUAGGAUAGGUGGGAGGCUUUGAAGUGUGGACGCCAGUCUGCAUGGAGCCGACCUUGAAAUACCACCCUUUAAUGUUUGAUGUUCUAACGUGGACCCGUGAUCCGGGUUGCGGACAGUGUCUGGUGGGUAGUUUGACUGGGGCGGUCUCCUCCUAAAGAGUAACGGAGGAGCACGAAGGUUGGCUAAUCCUGGUCGGACAUCAGGAGGUUAGUGCAAUGGCAUAAGCCAGCUUGACUGCGAGCGUGACGGCGCGAGCAGGUGCGAAAGCAGGUCAUAGUGAUCCGGUGGUUCUGAAUGGAAGGGCCAUCGCUCAACGGAUAAAAGGUACUCCGGGGAUAACAGGCUGAUACCGCCCAAGAGUUCAUAUCGACGGCGGUGUUUGGCACCUCGAUGUCGGCUCAUCACAUCCUGGGGCUGAAGUAGGUCCCAAGGGUAUGGCUGUUCGCCAUUUAAAGUGGUACGCGAGCUGGGUUUAGAACGUCGUGAGACAGUUCGGUCCCUAUCUGCCGUGGGCGCUGGAGAACUGAGGGGGGCUGCUCCUAGUACGAGAGGACCGGAGUGGACGCAUCACUGGUGUUCGGGUUGUCAUGCCAAUGGCACUGCCCGGUAGCUAAAUGCGGAAGAGAUAAGUGCUGAAAGCAUCUAAGCACGAAACUUGCCCCGAGAUGAGUUCUCCCUGACCCUUUAAGGGUCCUGAAGGAACGUUGAAGACGACGACGUUGAUAGGCCGGGUGUGUAAGCGCAGCGAUGCGUUGAGCUAACCGGUACUAAUGAACCGUGAGGCUUAACCUU
rnacentral:rRNA from 1 species